UACACUGUCGCCGCCCAAGGUGAUCCGAGGCGGCAGCGCCGCGGAUUGAAACGGGAAUCCGGUGACGCGCGGUUCGACACAUCGCGCCAUUCCGGAGCUGCCCCCGCAACGGUAGGCGAGUAAACGGUCGGCAUCGAAGCCACUGUGCCCUUGAGGCAUGGGAAGGCGCCGCCCCGCAGGCAUGGCCUGCGCUCGUGAGCCCGGAGACCGGCCUCGUGGUACACCGGACA
rnacentral:ncRNA from 2 species